CAGUCGCCACGGGAAUACGUAGGUGGCAAGCGUUGUCCGGAUUUAUUGGGCGUAAAGCGAGCGCAGGCGGUCAAUUAAGUCCGAUGUGAAAGCCCCCGGCUCAACCGGGGAGGGUCAUUGGAAACUGGUUGACUUGAGUGCAGAAGAGGAGAGUGGAAUUCCAUGUGUAGCGGUGAAAUGCGUAGAUAUAUGGAGGAACACCAGUGGCGAAGGCGACUCUCUGGUCUGUAACUGACGCUGAGGCUCGAAAGCGUGGGUAGCAAACAGGAUUAGAUACCCCAGGUCCCUGUCUCUUAUACAC
rnacentral:rRNA from 1 species